rnacentral:rRNA from 1 species
UUCGGAAAAAGGGACAGCUACUAGAUGGUUCGAUUGGUCUUUCGCCCCUAUGCCCAAUUCUGACAAUCGAUUUGCACGUCAGAAUUGCUUCGGUCCUCCAUCAGGGUUUCCCCUGACUUCAACCUGAUCAGGCAUAGUUCACCAUCUUUCGGGUCGCAUCCUACGCACUCGGGGGAUGCCCGCUGGGUGGCGCACGUGUGACCGCACGCCAGCCCGUACCGGGGCACCCUGGGAUGGAGGGAGGCGUCCGUGGCUUGCGCCAAGCGCGCCCCCGUAAUCCCGCGACGAAACCGUCUCGAGUUGUCUGCGCCUGUGGGGUUCUCGUCUGUGCUGGGUCGGACCCGGGCAGGGUCCGCCCACGCCCAUUGGCUCGCGCGUAAGAUAGACUUC